AAUUGACCUAGGAGAAAGUCCCACUGCCGUUCCAAGCUUGCUCCUCCCUUCCCCAAGUUACACCCUCGUGAGAUUGCCAAAAGAGGUUAUUCUCAGAGCCCAUCCUUCAUCUGUGCUUGUGACCAAUUUGCCAUUUAUGAUCAUGGAUCUUGUGUUCUAAAAUGAUGGUCUACAGCUACGUUGAAUGGAGGCAGCAUACUCCCCUCAAUAUACAGUAGUGUCUGGUCUACCAAUUGAUGAUUCUGUUCCACUGCGAAGUGAGUCACCAAUCACAACACAUGCCUUUUUUUUCCUUUGGUAAGUCUGAGCUGCUUUUCUUUCUGUCAUUGGAACA